rnacentral:rRNA from 1 species
UACAGAGGGGGCAAGCGUUGUUCGGAAUUACUGGGCGUAAAGGGCGCGUAGGCGGCCUUCUAAGUCGAACGUGAAAUCCCCGGGCUCAACCCGGGAACUGCGUCCGAUACUGGAAGGCUUGAAUCCGGGAGAGGGAUGCGGAAUUCCAGGUGUAGCGGUGAAAUGCGUAGAUAUCUGGAGGAACACCGGUGGCGAAGGCGGCAUCCUGGACCGAGAUUGACGCUGAGGCGCGAAAGCUAGGGGAGCAAACGGG